GAGGGUCUAACGGCGUUCUCCCGGCGGCGGUCAUUUUGGUGACAGUGGGUCGGCCUGCUUGAUACGGUUCUGCAGCUCUUGGUCCGGCUCGAGGUUUCCAUGGCUUCAGAAGCACUUAUGAGCAAUGCAUAGGCCUCUCACUGUUGUAGCCUCUCCCGUUGCGGAGCACAGGCUCCGGACAUGCAGGCUCCGCGGCAUGUGGGAUCUUCCUGGACCGGGGCACAAACCUGUGUCCCCUGCAUCGGCAGGUGGACUCUCAACCACUGCGCCACCAGGGAAGCCCUAACGUGAUGUUUUGAUUACCUUCAAUACCCCAGUACUGAUCAUCAUGUUGGAGGAGAUGCAUUGGUGAAAAGAGACCUGUAUUCUUUCAGUAAGUUUCAAUCAAGUGCUUGCUGACAAAUAAUAAACAAACCAUAGUGAAUUACCAUAGGUGUAACAAAAAUUGAUGAGUGUUGGGUGAAUAAUUAAAAUAGGAUG